UACGGAGGGUGCGAGCGUUGUUCGGAAUCACUGGGCGUAAAGCGCGUGUAGGCGGCCCAUUAAGUCUGAUGUGAAAGCCCGGGGCUCACCCCCGGAAGUGCAUUGGAAACUGAUGGACUCGAGUCCCGGAGAGGAGAGUGGAAUUCCUGGUGUAGCGGUGAAAUGCGUAGAUAUUGGGAAGAACACCAGUGGCGUAAGCGACUUGCUGGGCUGUAACUGACGCUGAGGAACGAAAGCCAGGGGAGCGAAUGGG
rnacentral:rRNA from 1 species